GAUGAACGCUGGCGGCGUGCCUAAUACAUGCAAGUCGAGCGAACGGACGAGAAGCUUGCUUCUCUGAUGUUAGCGGCGGACGGGUGAGUAACACGUGGAUAACCUACCUAUAAGACUGGGAUAACUUCGGGAAACCGGAGCUAAUACCGGAUAAUAUUUUGAACCGCAUGGUUCAAAAGUGAAAGACGGUCUUGCUGUCACUUAUAGAUGGAUCCGCGCUGCAUUAGCUAGUUGGUAAGGUAACGGCUUACCAAGGCAACGAUGCAUAGCCGACCUGAGAGGGUGAUCGGCCACACUGGAACUGAGACACGGUCCAGACUCCUACGGGAGGCAGCAGUAGGGAAUCUUCCGCAAUGGGCGAAAGCCUGACGGAGCAACGCCGCGUGAGUGAUGAAGGUCUUCGGAUCGUAAAACUCUGUUAUUAGGGAAGAACAUAUGUGUAAGUAACUGUGCACAUCUUGACGGUACCUAAUCAGAAAGCCACGGCUAACUACGUGCCAGCAGCCGCGGUAAUACGUAGGUGGCAAGCGUUAUCCGGAAUUAUUGGGCGUAAAGCGCGCGUAGGCGGUUUUUUAAGUCUGAUGUGAAAGCCCACGGCUCAACCGUGGAGGGUCAUUGGAAACUGGAAAACUUGAGUGCAGAAGAGGAAAGUGGAAUUCCAUGUGUAGCGGUGAAAUGCGCAGAGAUAUGGAGGAACACCAGUGGCGAAGGCGACUUUCUGGUCUGUAACUGACGCUGAUGUGCGAAAGCGUGGGGAUCAAACAGGAUUAGAUACCCUGGUAGUCCACGCCGUAAACGAUGAGUGCUAAGUGUUAGGGGGUUUCCGCCCCUUAGUGCUGCAGCUAACGCAUUAAGCACUCCGCCUGGGGAGUACGACCGCAAGGUUGAAACUCAAAGGAAUUGGCGGGGACCCGCACAAGCGGUGGAGCAUGUGGUUUAAUUCGAAGCAACGCGAAGAACCUUACCAAAUCUUGACAUCCUUUGACAACUCUAGAGAUAGAGCCUUCCCCUUCGGGGGACAAAGUGACAGGUGGUGCAUGGUUGUCGUCAGCUCGUGUCGUGAGAUGUUGGGUUAAGUCCCGCAACGAGCGCAACCCUUAAGCUUAGUUGCCAUCAUUAAGUUGGGCACUCUAAGUUGACUGCCGGUGACAAACCGGAGGAAGGUGGGGAUGACGUCAAAUCAUCAUGCCCCUUAUGAUUUGGGCUACACACGUGCUACAAUGGACAAUACAAAGGGCAGCGAAACCGCGAGGUCAAGCAAAUCCCAUAAAGUUGUUCUCAGUUCGGAUUGUAGUCUGCAACUCGACUACAUGAAGCUGGAAUCGCUAGUAAUCGUAGAUCAGCAUGCUACGGUGAAUACGUUCCCGGGUCU
rnacentral:rRNA from 1 species